GAUGAACGCUGGCGGCGUGCUUAACACAUGCAAGUCGAGCGAAGCACUUUUGCAGAUUUCUUCGGAUUGAAGCAAUUGUGACUGAGCGGCGGACGGGUGAGUAACGCGUGGGUAACCUGCCUCAUACAGGGGGAUAACAGUUGGAAACGGCUGCUAAUACCGCAUAAGCGCACAGUACCGCAUGGUACCGUGUGAAAAACUCCGGUGGUAUGAGAUGGACCCGCGUCUGAUUAGCUAGUUGGUGGGGUAACGGCCUACCAAGGCGACGAUCAGUAGCCGACCUGAGAGGGUGACCGGCCACAUUGGGACUGAGACACGGCCCAAACUCCUACGGGAGGCAGCAGUGGGGAAUAUUGCACAAUGGGGGAAACCCUGAUGCAGCGACGCCGCGUGAGCGAUGAAGUAUUUCGGUAUGUAAAGCUCUAUCAGCAGGGAAGAAAAUGACGGUACCUGACUAAGAAGCCCCGGCUAACUACGUGCCAGCAGCCGCGGUAAUACGUAGGGGGCAAGCGUUAUCCGGAUUUACUGGGUGUAAAGGGAGCGUAGACGGCAUGGCAAGCCAGAUGUGAAAGCCCGGGGCUCAACCCCGGGACUGCAUUUGGAACUGUCAGGCUAGAGUGUCGGAGAGGAAAGCGGAAUUCCUAGUGUAGCGGUGAAAUGCGUAGAUAUUAGGAGGAACACCAGUGGCGAAGGCGGCUUUCUGGACGAUGACUGACGUUGAGGCUCGAAAGCGUGGGGAGCAAACAGGAUUAGAUACCCUGGUAGUCCAGCGCCGUAAACGAUGAAUACUAGGUGUCGGGUGGCAAAGCCAUUGCGGUGCCGCAGC
rnacentral:rRNA from 1 species